rnacentral:rRNA from 1 species
AAGUUUCACCAACGGAUCUCUUGGCUCUCGCAUCGAUGAAGAACCCACGAAAUGCGAUAAGUAAUGUGAAUUGCAGAAUUCAGUGAAUCAUCGAAUCUUUGAACGCACCUUGCGCUCCUUGGUAUUCCUCGGAGCAUGCCUGUUUGAGUAUCA